UACGUAGGGCGCAAGCGUUAUCCGGAAUUAUUGGGCGUAAAGAGCUCGUAGGCGGUUUGUCGCGUCUGCUGUGAAAGACCGGGGCUCAACUCCGGUUCUGCAGUGGUACGGGCAGACUAGAGUGCAGUAGGGGAGACUGGAAUUCCUGGUGUAGCGGUGAAAUGCGCAGAUAUCAGGAGGAACAGCCGAUGGCGAAGGCAGGUCUCUGGGCUGUAACUGACGCUGAGGAGCGAAAGCAUGGGGAGCGAACAGG
rnacentral:rRNA from 1 species